AACAGACACCGAAAACGCGAAAGACAUGCCCGCCACGACGACGACGGCCACCGCCACCACCAGUGCGGCAGUUCCCAAUUAUGUACUUGAGGGUCUUCCGAGUGAGGAGGAGCUCGCAGCCAAGUGCCUUGAGCUGGGACUUGUCAUUCAUCAGCCCCACACUUACGAAAUCACCCAUCCUGCCUUGUCCCUGCGGCCCUUCCCUAUGAAGGCGGAUGUGCUGUACCAGUUGUACGACCGCCAGCUCCUGUGGAAUGAGGCGAUCAACCGCACGUCGCGUAACUUCGAGUUCUUGCGUGACUCCAUGAAGUCGACGGCAGAGAGCGAUCGCGGCUUUACCGGCCGGCUGCUUUCCAUCCUGGAGAAGGUGUACAUGACCACCCCCGUCGGGGCGAAGGCCCCGGUGUACCAGCCGCUUAUGCUGGGCAUCCUUCGCACCGACUACAUGAGCUCCGUCGACCCCGAGAGCGACAGCCACCUUUCCUCCGCCGAGGUCGCGGCCGCGGUUGCAGCAGGGACGGCACGACAGUGGAAGAACAUCGAGAUCAACACCAUCAGUUGCUCAUUCGCCGGUAUCUCCCCGCUGGUGCAGCGUUUUCACGCGUACCUUCACAAGUUCCGCGAGGCCUUCAUGAACGUUGGCGCUGCGGCGGCGGUCGAGGGCACUAAAGCGGCUUCGUAUGCCGCGCCGUCCGUCGUCGCCACAUCGCCGCGGCAACGCGAGUCUGCGUAUGUGACAGACGAAAAGCACAACUCGGGGGUACAGGUGUCGGCGGCUCUUGCCGAGGCAGUUGCUGCUUGGCGCGACGCCGUGCCCUAUUCAAGCUUCCUUCGUCAGUAUCAGCAGCGCACGGGUGUCGCGCUAAAGCCGAUUGUGCUCGCUGUAGUGCAGGAAAACGAGCUUAACACGGCUGAUCAGUACAAGCUGUUGCUGGAGCUGCUUGAGACGCAUGGCGUGCUAAGUCUGCGGCGCACGCUCGCGCAGUUGCAUGAGACGAUGCAGCUGGAGCACGCCACUCUUUGUGGCAACGAACACGAUUGCAGCACGGAGACGAAGGAGGACUUGAGCGAGCAGCUGCAGCCGCCCUUCGCCGUGGUCGACAAGAAGUACGUUGUAGCGGUGGCUUACUUCCGCAGCACCUACGUGCCGAAGGACUUGCCGACGGAGACGGCGUGGCAGACGCGAGAGCGGAUCGAGGAGUCCAACGCGGUGAAGUGCCCGAGCGUUCCGUACCACCUGAUGACCUUUAAAAAGAUGCAGCAGCUCAUGUCGAACGUGUCGGAGGUGCUGGCGCCGGUGAGCUUCGAUGGCGACCAGCAGAAGGCAGCCGCCCUGGCGGAGCACUUUGUUCCGCAGUACUCGCUGAAUGAAGAUGAGUACGCGCGGCUUGCAACGAACCGGCAGCGCAUCGACGAGGGUAAGGUGAUCAACGACCCGGAGCACUGGAUCGCCGACGCCGUGUUGCGCCCGGAGCGGUAUGUGCUAAAGCCGCAGCUGGAGGGAGGCGGCAACCUCAUCGCCGGAGAGCCCAUGCAGCGCAUGCUGCGUGAUGUGACGAGCGACGACCCGGUCUACCAGAAGAUCCGGCGUGAGUACAUCUUGAUGCGCAAAAUCGACCACCCCGUUGCGACUGGUGUCUUCUUCCAGAGAAAUAGAAUCCACGUGCUGGAGAGGAAUGCGUGCUCAGAGGUCGGCAUCUUCGGCGUCAUCUUGUCAUCCGACGCAAACGGGUACAUCAUUAAUCAAGCCGCCGGCAGCUUGGUGCGGACGAAGCCGGCAGAUGUCACGGACGGCGGCGUGGUAGCUGGCGUAGCGGCCUUGGACAGCGUGCAGAUAAUCAGUUAGGUGCUGCAAUUUGUUGUGUGGUGCCAUCGUGGCCGCUGAGGGUGGCUGUCCCUGAGAGCUCAUGCCCGCCGGAGGUACGACCGCGACGCGUCAUCAGUCGCAGGGUCCUCUUGCUGUGUAUAAAGCGCACACAGCGACAGACGCAAGACAAGUGAAAGAGGGAGAGCUGUGAUCUUGCGGGCUGGCUAGGCUUGGUGAAGCUGGAUCCCGCACACCUCUCCGUGUUGUCCUCCGUGUAUUUUAGCCCUUCUUUAUGUGUGGAUGCUACAUGCACGUCCUGCCGUCUUCUGCCAAUUCGCUCGCUCUCUCUCUAUAUAUAUAUUUCUUUUUAUUGUGCUAUUAUUAUUAUCUGUCGUGCUUUGGUCACGCUUAUCAAAAAUAGAGAUGUGAGGUGACAGGCGAGGCAGCUGUCGUGUGCUCGCUUAUCAUUACCCUCUCCCCUCUCCCACCCGCACAACCCUCACUCACUAAUACUCCCUUCCCUCUUCCUCCUCCCCUCCCCUCCCCUCCACGUCUGCAUCUCUUUUAGCCUUUAUUCUAUGUCACAUGCAUUAAGCAAC
rnacentral:misc_RNA from 1 species